rnacentral:lncRNA from 1 species
ACAAAGCAACCACAAAACUCAAACAAGCUCCGUGAACAGAAUUGAACCAAUUCCCAUUGAAAUCAGAAGAAGCAACAACAAAAAAAACAUUGAAAUUCAAAUGAACCCCAUGACAAAACUUUUCAUAUCAAAACAUGAGUCUAACAGAUUCAGCGACAAGGAUCUGAAAAAUGUAAAUCCCAUCGAAGAACUAACCCAAACAACAGAAUGAAAAACACUCCAACCGGAACCGUGAACUCGAAACUCGGAAGGAGAAUGAAAACGGCCUUAAACAAACUCCAUUACCAAACACACAACAAAAGAAAAUUCAGAAUUAAAGAGAAGAAACCGAAGUGUUCUUGUAUAUUUUGACCUUUUUGAAACUCAAAACCUUAAUGUUGAUGGAAGGUUGGGCAGCUGGGUUUAUUUGGGAGUUAGGAGUGAAGUCUCAUAUUCUGAAAAUGGUGAAGAAGAGGUCGUUUGGGGUGGUCUGUGACAGAGUAGAUGAAGUUCAGGUGGGGUUCUUGGAGAAGACAGAGUCGGGGGGUGGGUCUCGUAUAUUGCGGCUCUCCCUUCAAAAAUUUUGGCUUCUUU